CCGGCGUCGGGCGGCGGACGGGUGAGUAACACUUAGGAAUCUACCUAGUAGUGGGGGAUAGUUUGGGGAAACUCGAAUUAAUACCGCAUACGACCUACGGGAGAAAGGGGGCAGUUUACUGCUCUCGCUAUUAGAUGAGCCUAAGUCGGAUUAGCUAGAUGGUGGGGUAAAGGCCUACCAUGGCGACGAUCUGUAGCUGGUCUGAGAGGAUGAUCAGCCACACCGGGACUGAGACACGGCCCGGACUCCUACGGGAGGCAGCAGUGGGGAAUAUUGGACAAUGGGGGGAACCCUGAUCCAGCCAUGCCGCGUGUGUGAAGAAGGCCUUUUGGUUGUAAAGCACUUUAAGCAGUGAAGAAGACCUAACGGUUAAUACCCGUUAGCGAUGACAUUAGCUGCAGAAUAAGCACCGGCUAACUCUGUGCCAGCAGCCGCGGUAAUACAGAGGGUGCAAGCGUUAAUCGGAAUUACUGGGCGUAAAGCGAGCGUAGGUGGCUUGAUAAGUCAGAUGUGAAAUCCCCGGGCUUAACCUGGGAACUGCAUCUGAUACUGUUAAGCUAGAGUAGGUGAGAGGGAAGUAGAAUUCCAGGUGUAGCGGUGAAAUGCGUAGAGAUCUGGAGGAAUACCGAUGGCGAAGGCAGCUUCCUGGCAUCAUACUGACACUGAGGCUCGAAAGCGUGGGUAGCAAACAGGAUUAGAUACCCUGGUAGUCCACGCCGUAAACGAUGUCUACUAGUCGUUGGGUCCCUUGAGGACUUAGUGACGCAGCUAACGCAAUAAGUAGACCGCCUGGAGU
rnacentral:rRNA from 1 species